rnacentral:lncRNA from 1 species
AAAGUUCUUCCUUGAUCGUACAAGUCGUAGUCCAUGCCUCUCAAAGAAGUAAAAGGAGUUGGGAAGAGGGAGCACCCUUUGUCCCAAUAGUGGUUUCACCCUACUUUUGAAUCUAAAAUUUUAUUGCCAAAAUAAGCCAACAAGCAAAGUAAUAAUCCUGAGCACUAUUAUAUAGAACACUAUAACCAUGACAAUAAAAAAACCACAAAUAGGUUGGUUGUUCAUUGCCAUUUCUUUUGC